AGCUUUUUAAUGGGUAUUUUUGAAAAAUAACCAUAUCUUAUAAAUAUUGUUUUUGAGUCAAACACAUUUUGGAAAAUGAUAUAUAUGGAUAUAUGCUUUCUUAAAAGUAUUGUGUUGUGACCCUUACUAUAUAUGAAAAAUGCACCAUAUUUGAUAUUACAUUUGGGGAAAUGCAUGAAUUGUUAUAUGGAAAAAUGAGCAUCUUUUAAUUAAUCUUUGAUAAGAAAAUCAUUGAUUUUAUUGUGUAUUGAAAAGUUAAAGAUGCUUAUCUUGUCUUGUAUUAUUUGAGAAAUUGUUAAAAAAAUCUUUUGACAGGAAUGAAGUUUGAAAACCUUACAAACUUUGUAGAAGUUAGAUUAUUUAAGGUUUUCUGAAACUAUUUGGAUAUGAACUAUGCGUUUCAAAGUAAGGUAACCUGUGAGUUUAUGUGAUUUUAGCCCUAUGCCAUGUGUGAUUUCCCGGUGAUCACCCGAUUUGAUUUCCGUAGUCUUUGUGACAAUGGAAUCAAAUUUAGGUCAAUGCCUUUUCACUUUGGAUGACGCGUUCUUCCCUGCUGUCCAUGGGGGGAAGAGGUUCCUUGAUUGUGUGUGGGUGAGGCUGCUGUCCAUGGGGCCAAGAGACCACAUACAAGAAAGGUCCUAUUUGACGCACUCUCUCUGCUGCCCAUGGGGGGAGAGAAAAACCUUGAGGGUAUGGGUAAGGCUGCUGUCCAUGGGACCAAGAGUCUGCAUACCAGAGAGGAUAAUAUCAUGCCAGUUGUGAAUGGGUGAAUCCCCUGAUCGGUCUAUGUGGUAGUGUGGUAGAUCUGUGAUAAUUUAUCUUAUGUUAGAUAUUAUGGUUUUAGAAAUUAUAUUGUUGAUACUCACAGAUUAUGGUAUAUAGUUUCAAGGUAUUUACUUUGAGAAACUUUGUGCUUCAUUAUGUAAUCAUUCUUGUCAUAUUAUUAUUAUUGAAGAUGAAACUUACAUUUCCCCCACCCCCAUUAUUGUGCUACUUACUAGGCUUUGUCUCAUUCUAUUAUUUUUAUAACUUUUCAGAGUAGGCAACAAUCUUUUGAGACAGCUUUUUUGUGGCUAAUAGUAGUUAGACUAA